GCCGACGUAGCUCAGCUAGUAGAGCAUUUCCAUGGUAAGGAAAAGGUCCGCGGUGCAAAUCCGCGCGUCGGCUCCA
rnacentral:tRNA from 1 species